rfam:Vitis vinifera, whole genome shotgun sequence of line PN40024, unoriented chromosome 14, chr14
AUACCUUUCUUGGUCUGUUGACUAAGAUCAAGUGUAGUAUCUGUUCUUAUUGGUUUAAUAUCUGAUACAUGGGUCAUUGAUCCACAUGAUAUUAAAUUAAAUUUUUUGAAGGUUCACUACAGUAGCUUGCUACUGGAGCCUUCAAGCGUUACCCAUGUGUUGCACUAUUGCACUGGCCAGGCGCAACCCUA